GAUGAACGCUAGCUACAGGCUUAACACAUGCAAGUCGAGGGGCAGCAUUUUAGUUUGCUUGCAAACUGAAGAUGGCGACCGGCGCACGGGUGAGUAACACGUAUCCAACCUGCCGAUAACUCCGGGAUAGCCUUUCGAAAGAAAGAUUAAUACCGGAUAGCAUACGAAUAUCGCAUGAUAUUUUUAUUAAAGAAUUUCGGUUAUCGAUGGGGAUGCGUUCCAUUAGUUUGUUGGCGGGGUAACGGCCCACCAAGACAACGAUGGAUAGGGGUUCUGAGAGGAAGGUCCCCCACAUUGGAACUGAGACACGGUCCAAACUCCUACGGGAGGCAGCAGUGAGGAAUAUUGGUCAAUGGGCGAGAGCCUGAACCAGCCAAGUAGCGUGAAGGAUGAAGGCUCUAUGGGUCGUAAACUUCUUUUAUAUGGGAAUAAAGUAUUCCACGUGUGGAAUUUUGUAUGUACCAUAUGAAUAAGGAUCGGCUAACUCCGUGCCAGCAGCCGCGGUAAUACGGAGGAUCCGAGCGUUAUCCGGAUUUAUUGGGUUUAAAGGGAGCGUAGGUGGAUUGUUAAGUCAGUUGUGAAAGUUUGCGGCUCAACCGUAAAAUUGCAGUUGAAACUGGCAGUCUUGAGUACAGUAGAGGUGGGCGGAAUUCGUGGUGUAGCGGUGAAAUGCUUAGAUAUCACGAAGAACUCCGAUUGCGAAGGCAGCUCACUAGACUGUCACUGACACUGAUGCUCGAAAGUGUGGGUAUCAAACAGGAUUAGAUACCCUGGUAGUCCACACAGUAAACGAUGAAUACUCGCUGUUUGCGAUAUACAGUAAGCGGCCAAGCGAAAGCAUUAAGUAUUCCACCUGGGGAGUACGCCGGCAACGGUGAAACUCAAAGGAAUUGACGGGGGCCCGCACAAGCGGAGGAACAUGUGGUUUAAUUCGAUGAUACGCGAGGAACCUUACCCGGGCUUAAAUUGCAACAGAAUAUAUUGGAAACAGUAUAGCCGUAAGGCUGUUGUGAAGGUGCUGCAUGGUUGUCGUCAGCUCGUGCCGUGAGGUGUCGGCUUAAGUGCCAUAACGAGCGCAACCCUUAUCUUUAGUUACUAACAGGUCAUGCUGAGGACUCUAGAGAGACUGCCGUCGUAAGAUGUGAGGAAGGUGGGGAUGACGUCAAAUCAGCACGGCCCUUACGUCCGGGGCUACACACGUGUUACAAUGGGGGGUACAGAAGGCGGCUACCUGGUGACAGGAUGCUAAUCCCAAAAACCUCUCUCAGUUCGGAUCGAAGUCUGCAACCCGACUUCGUGAAGCUGGAUUCGCUAGUAAUCGCGCAUCAGCCAUGGCGCGGUGAAUACGUUCCCGGGCCU
rnacentral:rRNA from 1 species